CUCCUUUGACGUUAGCGGCGGACGGGUGAGUAACACGUGGGUAACCUACCUAUAAGACUGGGAUAACUUCGGGAAACCGGAGCUAAUACCGGAUAACAUUUGGAACCGCAUGGUUCUAAAGUGAAAGAUGGUUUUGCUAUCACUUAUAGAUGGACCCGCGCCGUAUUAGCUAGUUGGUAAGGUAACGGCUUACCAAGGCAACGAUACGUAGCCGACCUGAGAGGGUGAUCGGCCACACUGGAACUGAGACACGGUCCAG
rnacentral:rRNA from 1 species